GUGAUGGGUGUCUGUCAAGGGCCCCGUUCUUUGUUUGCGUGGUGCUGGAGUUGCGAUUUUUUCUCCAUUUUCGUUUGAGUUUGUUGUGGCACCUCAUUUGCACGCGACGUCCUGCAAAAGACUUAAAAAUGUGCACAAGAGUUAAUCGAGAUCUAUACAGGCUAGAUGUAGUCCACUAUCUUCAGUCCACUUUACCUAACAUAUAGCUUCGUUCGUUGGUCGUAGGUUUAGGAAAGUAUAUUGAGGUAUAGCACAUAUAGAGAUAUAGCAGAAGUAUGAGAGAUGAAAAACGAGGUAUAUGGAAGUGUAAGAAAUAUAUAAGUAGUUAUAAAAGAGGUAUAGAGGUAUGCGUAGGUAUGGAGGAUGUAUAAUGCAAGUAUAAGGAAAGGCAUAUGAAAACAUAUGUAUGCACAACAGAGAAAUGUGGAGGUAUAGAGGAGGUAUAUGAAGGUUCCACCGAGAUUUGAACUCGGAUCGCUGGAUUCAAAGUCCAGAGUGCUAACCAUUACACCAUGGAACCAGUUAUGCAACAACAUUUGGGAUAUGCUAUAAACAUCGAUCGAUUGAUUACUUUUAAAAUUUUAGUGUUCAAAUUUAUUUUGAAAAGUAUUUUUUAAAAAAAAUAAUAUUUUGUGUCCGUAAUUUACUCGCACAUCUAUUAAUCAACAAAUGAAAGUAUUGUAUAUUUACUUCAAAGCAUAAAUGAGAACUAAAUAUUUAACGGCCAUAUGGGGAAUGUGCAUCCAAACAAAUUUCAAUAAAAUGCAAUCCUUACAACACAAAAUUUUAAAGAUAUUAUAUAAUUAUGAUAGGCUAACAAUGCAAAUAUCUUGUAUAGAGAAUUACUUACGAAUGCAUAAAUUCAAAGAAAUACUUCAAAUUGAGCAGUGUAAAAUUAUAUGUAAUAUUAUGAAUGAACACAAAAAAUACAUAUUUAAUAAUUACUAAUCAGGUUUAUAACUAUGAAACUAGAAUAAUAAAUGCUAUAUACCAAAUUAAUAUCAGAACCAACAUUU